UACGGGCAAUUUAGAGUCUCCAAUUAAUGCAUGUUUUUGGGAUGUGGGAGGAAACCGGAGUGCCCGGAGAAAACCCACGCAGGCACGGGGAGAACAUGCAAACUCCACACAGGCGGGGCCGGGGAUUGAACCCGGGUCCUCAGAACUGUGAGGCUGACGCUCUAACCAGUCGGCCACCGUGCCGCCUGUGAAAGAACAAUCAAACGUAAUACUGCAUGUAAAACACACUACAUGUGAGCACUGCAAUAUCAGAUCUUUCAUUUGGGUUUGAACGUGUGAACCCACAAAAAGGAUCCAAGCAGACACCUGCUUCCCACUUCAACUCAAUACGCUUACCUUUCCAAAAAUCCGAAUGAAUAGUUUUCACUGUCUUCAUUCAGGUGCUUAUUGUUCUAGUCACUAGUGUAUUUGUGCAACUUGCCAAACCUGACGUUCAACAGAUGUAUUUAUGUGAAGCCUUCUAUGAUUAGUUUAAGUAUUCUGAGAACAGCGACUCAUUUUACAAAAGAAUUGAAAAUGACAAAUAUCAUCAGAACGUUAAAAAAACGUCAUUAUUCCUGGAUAGGAAAUAGCCCUUUGUAGUACUCAGUAGCUGACACUAGAUGGCAGCAAAGUCAGUUUAAAAAAAAAUGGCAUUUAAAAUUACUGAUGGACUCGUCGUGUGAUGAUGGAGCAGCUAUCAGCUGAAAAAAGAAUACUCAGUCUUCACAAUAGCUUUGCAUUUAUUAAAUUGUUUAGAGUUUAGUGCAUGAAAAGACAUAAUUACCCAAUUAUCCAGGGUACAGAUUACUAAAUUGAGGGAACAGAUUAUCAAUGAAUUUGAUUUUUCUCAUAUCUUGGCACCAGGGGGGCUCAGUACAUUUUACUUCUGAAUCAAAUUAAAAAAAAAAAAUCAUAAAUUAAAAGAUAUUGCUGAAACAUAAAAUGUAGAUGCAUUUAACUGUACUCCCUGCAGCAAGAGCAGCUCAUUAAAAACAUGUCUGUAAUGUUACAUUUUGUAAGGAAGUGGAAGCUACUCAGAGAAAUACACACAAAACAGACAAUUACUACAACUAAUUACAAAAAAAAAAAAACAAUAAAACUUGAUGUUCAUUUUGUUUUUGUUGUUGUUUUAGGUUUCUCUUGACGGAGAUUUUCCUUGCCUACGUCACCCAGUGCUUGCUUAUAUAGGCUUCAUUUGGUCUCAUGUGCACAAAUUCAUUGAGAGGUCAGUUGUGAUUUGGCGCUAUACUGUAUAAAAUAAAAUUGAAUUGCACUGAGUAUGAUUAGUGACAGCAUCUACAGUAUUGCAGCCAUUUGCUAAACUCAUUUAAGUUCAUUUCCCCCCCUCAUUAAUGGAUACACAGCACCCCAUAUUGACAGAAAUUUCUUUUUUUUAAAAAGAACAACUGAAAUAUCACACAGUCAUAAGUAUUCAGACCCUUUGCUGUGACACUCAUAUUUAACUCGGGUGCUGUCCAUUUCUUCUGAUCAUCCUUGAGAUGGUUCUAUACCUUCAUUGGAGUCCAGCUGUGUUUGAUUAUACUGAUUGGACUUGAUUAGGAAAGCCACACACCUGUCUAUAUAAGACCUGACAGCUCACAGUGCAUGUCAGAGCAAAUGAGAAUCAUGAGGUCAAAGGAACUGCCUGAAGAGCUCAGAGACAGGCUUGUGGCAAGGCACAGAUCUGGCCAAGGUUACAAAAACAUUUCUGCUGCACUUAAGGUUCCUAAACAUCACUGUGGCUGAGCUCCAGAGAUGCAGUCGGGAAAUGGGAGAAAGUUCUGGAAAGUCAACCAUCACUGCAGCCCUCCCACCAGUCGGGGCUUUAUGGCAGAGUGGCCCGACGGAAGCCUCUCCUCAGUGCAAGACACAUGAAAGCCCGUGUGGAGUUUGCUAAAAAAAACACCUGAAGGACUCCAAGAUGCAAUUACCAUCCCCUCGCCUCCGCACCUGUGCCCAAUCAGCACUCAUCACUGCCUGUAUUUAAGCCUGCCUGACCCAGGGAUUCAACGCCAGAGUAUUCGCACUCAUUUGUGUGCUCCUCAUCCAGCCCUCUUCUUGCCCCCUGGGGGCUGGAUUCUUUUUUGUCAAAAAGAAAGAUACCCCCAUCCUGAGACACCCCGACCCCUCCCUCCAGUUCGUUGUGGAGGUUGACUCCUCUGAUACGGGAGCGUGGGCCGUCCUCUCCCAGCGGGAUCCUGAAACCUAGAAAUGACAUCUCUGCGCCUUCUUCUCCCGUCGCCUGUCAACAUCUGAUGCAAUUACGAUGAAGGAAAUCGUGAGCUGCUGGCCAUCAUCUGGGCUCUGAAGGAAUGGAGGCAUUGGCUGGAGGGGACCGCUUCUUCGUUCAUCAUAUGGACCGAGCACAAAAAACACGCCUAUCUCUGUUCUGCCAAGCGGCUUAACCCCCGGCAAGCUCGUUGGGCCCUAUUCCUCAGUCGAUCAAAUUUUAGCCUCUCCCUCCGCCCUGGUUCUCGUAAUGGCAAACUGGACAUCCUCUCUCGCAUUUAUUUCACCCCCCCCCCUUCCAACUCGGGGGAACCGGACCACAUCCUUCCCUCCUCCUGCUUUGUUGGGGCUGCCACGUGGAAGAUCAAACAGGUUGUUAAGAAGGCUCAGAGAAUCCAACCCGAUCCCAAGACUGGACUACCUGACCGUCUCUUCGUGCCCAAUUCUGUCCGCUCAGAAGUACUUUGGUGGGCUCAUAACGCCAAACUAACCUGUCAUCCUGGAAUCACCCGAACCAUUCAAUUCAUUCAACAGCACUUUUGGUGGCCCAGUCUGGCUAAAGACACCCGAGAGUUCAUCCUAGCCUGCUCCGUCUGUGCCCGAAGUAAGGCUUCGCACCAACCCCCAACUGGUCUGCUGCACCCCUUACCCAUUCGAGCCGUCAUUGGUCCCACAUUUCCUUGGACUUCGUUACAGGCCUAACCCCAUCUGAAGGUUACACCAUCAUCCUUACUAUCAUAGAUUGUUUCUCCAAGUAUGUCCAUUAUGUACCCCUUCCCAAGUUGCCCUCUGCUUUUGAGACUGCUUACCUCCUGCAUGUAUUCAGACUUCACGGCUUCCCGAUUGUCAUUGUCUCGGGCUGAGGUCCUCAGUUCUCCUCCCAGGUUUGGAAGGAGUUCUGCAAGGCGGUGGCCGCAGUAGCCAGUUUGGCUUCUGGCUACCACCACCAAUCCAACGGCCAGACGGAGCGGGCGAAUCAAAACCUGGAGUCCGCUCUUCGCUGCAUUGCUGCACGCAAUCCCGGAGCACCUUUCUUCAGUGGGUGGAAUAUGCCCACAACUCCUUCACCAGCUGCGCCACAGGUAUGUCUCCCUUUAUGGCAUGCUACGGUUUCCAACCUCCUUUGUUUAAGGAACAGGAGCAUACAGUGGCAGUUCCGGCGGUGAGGGAGAACCUGUGACGUGUCCAAUCUGUGUGGAAGGACAUCAGGGCUGCUCUUACUCAUUGAGUCGAGAAAAAUAAGCGACUGACGGAUCGUCAUCGCUCUCCCACGCCAGAAUAUAAGGACCUGAAGUGGGCGACCAACAUCAACUCCGUCCUCAAAAAGGCCCAGCAGAGGAUGUACUUCCUGCGGCUUCUGAGAAAGCAUGGCCUGCCACCGGAGCUGCUGAGACAGUUCUACACAGCGGUCAUCGAAUCAGUCCUGUGCUCUUCCAUCACAGUCUGGUUUGGUGCUGCUACAAAAAAGGACAAACUCCGACUGCAACGGACAAUCAAAACUGCUGAAAGGAUUGUCGGUACCCCCCUACCCACCCUUGAGGACUUGCACGCUGCCAGAACUAAGACAAGGGAGUGCAAAAUCCUCUCGGACCCUCCCCACCCCGGUCACCAGCUCUUCCAGCUCCUUCCCUCAGGUAGGCGCUACCGAUCAAUGCAAACUACAACUAGUAGACAUUCCAACAGCUUCUUCCCUCUUGCAAUCAACUUCUUAAACAGCUAACUUACAAUUCCAUUACAACAA